GGAGAAUGAUAGUGACUCACAGGUCUGGGACAAUGCUUGGUUUUAAUGCCUGUGCAGUGUGUAAGUGUGAGCAUGUUAUGUGCCACUACCCAGUCCUGUGUUUUAAGCACAUUGAGUAUAUACCGUGAACAUGUUUUACUACGUCUUGAAACUUCUUCACUCUCAGCUCCACAUAUGUCAGUCAUUAUACUGGUGCUGAAAGGGUAUUUUUUGUGUUAGUUAAUGCCUGUUUGUCUGUUUAUCUGUUUAGGAAAUUAUGCUAAUAUGACAUUGUGUGCCCUGGAUACUCGCAACGACAGCAAGAGAAAUAGUAAUGCAGUCAUUAUUGUCCUUUUGCAAUUCAAUUCUUUUUUUCAUCACAUUUUACUCUUUUGCUCAUUUUACAUGCUGUCCAAGUCAUUUUUUCAGGACUGAUGGGUGAAGUUGGCUAUCAUACAAAAAUAUAUUGAUGUCACAAAAAAGUCCUUUGGAACAAGGAUUAAAUUGUUCAAUCUGAUUGCUGGUUUUUAAAAGCUAAUGUCUGACCUUUCGUCAGUAACCUUUUGCUCUUUGCACAAGUCUAAGGACCAGUCGGAGACUAUCUGGCAACACCAGUUGCCAGUGAAUGAUAUGUAUUGUGUAUGUACAGCUGGUGAUUGGUUGUUGAAGGUUGCUAACAGUUGCUGUGAAAUCAAUUGCUAAAGCCGCUGUCAACUAGUUGCUGACUUGUUUGCAAACACUUGCAAACUAUUUGCCAAGUAGUGAAACUGUGCAAUGCAAAGCAAAAACAAAGACUGCUCACCUUCAAAGUCAAAUUUGUGUUGGUUGUAGUGGUAUGGCACAACUUUUACUGUAAAGGCAAACAUUCUACCUUUUUGGUUUAUACUGGUGUUUUUCUAAACUUCACGACAGCUCAGACAGUUUUUAAAUUGACAUUUUCCACAAAAACUACAGGCAAGUGCAGCAAUUUGCUAGUGCCCAAGCAACGAUAAGUGCCCUGUACAGUGCCCUCUUUGUGACCAACAGCCAGCAACCUCCAGCAUCCACUUGCCAACGCAUUUUCGCAUCUUUCCUCUGUGCCCAGCGGUUGCCAAGGGGUUACUGACCAGUUUAUAGGUCUAUGUGUCUGAGGUCUUAGCUUGUCUGGUGUUUCCACCAAAAAUAUAAGUAUAGUUUGAUGACAGAUUUUUUUUUAAUUCAGCAAAUGGUAGCAUUUUAUAUGGAAUCUAAGGAGCUUGUAAAGAAAAAUGACUGGACUUCUUUAAGUUCUAAAAGAUGUUUUAUCUCUCAUCCGAGAGGCUUCUUCAGUUCUUAGAUCAAAUGUUGGAGAGCUCCAGGUAUUUAAGCCCUAGUGGGAGUAGUACCUUAAGAGGGUCGUCAACCCAUAUAAGUGGACGUCAAGGCGCCUGGGAAUUUUUUUUUUAAAUUUUAUAUUGACUCCAGGUUCAGCUGUCAUUAAUGUCAUUGGAACUAUUUUAACUAACUACCGUAGAAAUUGUUAUAUGUUAGCUAGUAAACACUGAUUGUACAAAAAGAAAUUGUCAUUGAAUUGUAAAAAGAAAACAAAGACAAAACACUUGUCUUUUGUGAAAUUACACACAUAGGCAUCUUUUAAACAGAGUAGCGCACAAAACUAGCAUGGCUUGCUUUAUGCUAAUUGUAGAUCAAAAAUACAUUCAAGAAAGAUUAAAAAUACACACACUGGCAUUUCUAAAGUAAAAAAAUAUGUCAUUAUACCAUUCUUAUUCAUGUUUUACAUAAACUGGAGUGUAAAGUUGUAUUCAAAUUUGCCUAUGUUUGCUGUCUGAAUGCUAAACUACGCUAACAAGCUGUUCCAAGACGACUGAUGCUUAGCACCUGGCAAAUAGAUAUUAAAACAAUUCAUUUAGGCAAAACCUUGCUAGUUAAUACUUAAUCUACUGUAAGCUUUUGUUUAAUUUAAAUAGACCAACCCCUUAAAAUAUUCAUUUUGGGGUAACACUAUAUGAACAGCAUUAAUGUUUCCAUAAGAAUUUAAUACCGAGGACUUUAAUUACCUCACUUAUUGUUGAUAAUAUUUAAUCCCUAUUAUAACAAAGUAAAGUUAAUUACAUAUCUAAUGGGCUUAAAAAAAAUACCUUCCUGUAAUUGUAUUAAAGUAUCUGGCACCUAUUGCAUUUUCCUGUGUGACCAACCUCACCCAUCUGGCAUCUGUGCAGGAGAAAACAAAGCAUGAGAAGAAGUUGCUGAUAUGACAUGACCGAGGUCACUCUUAAAAUGUUUUCUCUUUGCCGCUCAGACAUUCACAUUUAUUUUCGCAAUGUAGACAAUGUUUGUACAAUGCAUAGAUCAUUCAUAUGUGUUAGUAUUCAGCCAUGUUGUAACAGUAAUGUACACAUGCAGUCACAUUGAAACAAUCCAUCAUUUGCACAGAUUUCAGCCAUAAACUUCGCAGACACAGACUCCACACACAACCCGACUCUGACUCCUGUGGGGAAAACCCCUCUCGCUGAAUGACAGAAACACAGCACUGAACUUGUAAUUUAUUGUUUGUAUAACUGGUAUGUGUGAAUAAAAAGCAAUGAGAUGAGUUUUAUUUAUUAUAGUAAUUUUGUAUCAAAUUACUAUUUAACUUAGGAAUAUGACUGUGCAGAAUCAUUCCUUUGUAAGAAUAUAGUGUUUUCUUUUCUAGUCACCCACAUGAAUAUAUGUAUAUAAAAUCUAUAUAUUUAAAA
ensembl:lncRNA